AGAGUUUGAUCCUGGCUCAGAACGAACGCUGGCGGCGUGGAUAAGACAUGCAAGUCGAACGGGAUUAUUUUGGUAGCAAUACUAAGAUGAUUCAGUGGCGGAAGGGUGCGUAACACGUGAGCAACCUACCGAGAAGUGGGGGAUAGCUCGCCGAAAGGCGAAUUAAUACCGCAUGUGGCAGUGAUGCUAAAGCCGGGGCAACCUGGCGCUUCUUGAUGGGCUCGCGGCCUAUCAGCUAGUUGGUGAGGUAACGGCUCACCAAGGCUAUGACGGGUAGCUGGUCUGAGAGGACGACCAGCCACACUGGAACUGAGACACGGUCCAGACACCUACGGGUGGCAGCAGUCGAGAAUUUUUCUCAAUGGGGGAAACCCUGAAGGAGCGACGCCGCGUGGAGGAUGAAGGUCUUCGGAUUGUAAACUCCUGUCAUUGGUGAACAAAGUCAUGCGAUUAACUGUCGUGUGAAUUGCUAGUAGCCGAAGAGGAAGGGACGGCUAACUCUGUGCCAGCAGCCGCGGUAAUACAGAGGUCCCAAGCGUUGUUCGGAUUUAUUGGGCGUAAAGGGUGCGUAGGCGGCAGUGUAAGUUGGGCGUGAAAUCCUGGGGCUUAACCUCAAGAAUUGCGUUCAAUACUGCAUUGCUAGGGCGCUGUAAGGAGAUUGGAAUUUACGGUGUACAUGAAAUGCGUAAUUUCGUAAGGAAGACCAGUGGCGAAAGCAAUCUCUGGGCAGCACCGACGCUAGGCACGAAGGCCAGGGGAACAAACCGGAUUAAUACCCCGGUAUCCUUGCAUUAAACGGUGCGCCGUUUGGUUUGGGGUUGGUUNCAACCUCCCUGCGCCGAAGCUAACGCGUUAAACGCGGCCGCCUGGGAAGUACGAUCGCAAGAUUAGAACUCAAAGAAAUUGACGGGGGCCCGCAACAAGCGGUGGAGUAUGUGGCUUAAUUCGAUGCAACGCGAAGAACCUUACCUAGGCUUGACAUGCAUCUCUAAGUCGGUGAAAGCCGGCGAGCGUAGCAAUACGUAAUUUGCACAGGUGCUGCAUGGCUGUCGUCAGCUCGUGUCGUGAGAUGUUGGGUUAAGUCCCGCAACGAGCGCAACCCCUGUGAGUUGUUGCCCAACUAUGUUGGGCUCUCUACUCAGACUGCCCUGUGAAACGGGGAGGAAGGUGGGGAUGACGUCAAGUCAGCAUGGCCCUUACGCCUAGGGCUGCACACGUACUACAGUGCCCAGUACAGAGAGAGCCGAGUCGGCGACGACAAGGAAAUCAUUAAAACUGGGCCCAGUUCGGAUCGCAGGCUGCAAUUCGCCUGCGUGAAGCCGGAAUCGCUAGUAAUGGCGCAUCAGCUACGGCGCCGUGAAUACGUUCCCGGGCCUUGUACACACCGCCCGUCACAUCAUGGAAGUCGCUUGCUCCCAAAGAGCUCGCUAGCCGGGCUUUAAGGAAUGAGCGGUAACUGGGAUGAAGUCGUACAAGGUAGCCGUAGGGGAACCUGCGGCUGGAUCACCUCCUU
rnacentral:rRNA from 1 species